AAUGGAUUCUUUUGUAAUGAACACAUUAAAAGAAUGGGGACUAGAAGAAUUGAUUCCAACAUUUGCAGCUCAAAAAAUUGACACCGAGGUAUUUAACACCCUUACCGACAAUGAUAUUGAGAGCUUGAUAAGUGAAGUGGGCACCAAAAGGAAAUUUUUAACAAAACUUAAAAAAUUCUGUACUUCCUGUUACUGAAAAGAUUUUUAGUGAGAUAAUCUUUGAUACUGACUGGGCCUCAUCUAGCACGACAAUUUUAUCGUCGCUAUCUGAUAUAAAUCCAAGUCCAUCAACUUCCAGUGUUCCAUCAAAG